rnacentral:rRNA from 1 species
AUUGAACGCUGGCGGCAGGCCUAACACAUGCAAGUCGAGCGGAUGAAGGGAGCUUGCUCCUGGAUUCAGCGGCGGACGGGUGAGUAAUGCCUAGGAAUCUGCCUGGUAGUGGGGGAUAACGUCCGGAAACGGGCGCUAAUACCGCAUACGUCCUGAGGGAGAAAGUGGGGGAUCUUCGGGCCUCACGCUAUCAGAUGAGCCUAGGUCGGAUUAGCUAGUUGGUGGGGUAAAGGCCUACCAAGGCGACGAUCCGUAACUGGUCUGAGAGGAUGAUCAGUCACACUGGAACUGAGACACGGUCCAGACUCCUACGGGAGGCAGCAGUGGGGAAUAUUGGACAAAGGGCGAAAGCCUGAUCCAGCCAUGCCGCGUGUGUGAAGAAGGUCUUCGGAUUGUAAAGCACUUUAAGUUGGGAGGAAGGGCAGUAAGUUAAUACCUUGCUGUUUUGACGUUACCAACAGAAUAAGCACCGGCUAACUCCGUG